rnacentral:rRNA from 1 species
AGUGAACGCUGGCGGCGUGCUUAACACAUGCAAGUCGAACGAGAACGGAAUAUAGCUUGCUAUAUUUGUCAGCUAAGUGGCGCACGGGUGAGUAAUGUAUAGAUAACCUGCCCUUAAGAAAGGAAUAACAGUGGGAAACGACUGCUAAUGCCCUAUAUGCAUUUAAUACAUAAGUAUGCAAGGGAAACGCUUUAGUGCUUAAGGAUGGGUCUGUAUGGUAUCAGCUUGUUGGUGAGGUAAUGGCUCACCAAGGCUAUGACGCCUAACUGGUUUGAGAGGAUGAUCAGUCACACUGGAACUGAGACACGGUCCAGACCCCUACGGGAGGCAGCAGUGGGGAAUAUUGCACAAUGGACGAAAGUCUGAUGCAGCAACGCCGCGUGGAGGAUGACACAUUUCGGUGCGUAAACUCCUUUUAUAUAGGAAGAUAAUGACGGUACUAUAUGAAUAAGCACCGGCUAACUCCGUGCCAGCCGCCGCCGUAA